rnacentral:rRNA from 1 species
UACAGAGGUCUCAAGCGUUGUUCGGAUUCAUUGGGCGUAAAGGGUGCGUAGGCGGCGCGGUAAGUCGGGUGUGAAAUCUCGGGGCUUAACUCCGAAACUGCAUUCGAAACUGCAGAGCUGGAGUCCUGGAGAGGAAGGCGGAAUUCUCGGUGUAGAGGUGAAAUUCGUAGAUAUCGAGAGGAACACCGGUGGCGAAGGCGGCCUUCUGGACAGUGACUGACGCUGAGACGCGAAAGCGUGGGGAGCAAACAGG